AAACCCUCGCUUUGGCGCGUGAACUUGAGCUGCUCGCUUCCCGCGCGUCGGAGGCGACACGGGAGCCCCUCGGUGCUGGGGCAGCCAGCAGGCGCUCUCCCGCCCUCGCGGCGCCGAGCGGUUAUAAAGGCGGCUGUCGCCGGAGGGAGGGAGCAAGCGAGGGGUUUUCUUGUGGUCAAGGAGGAAGUUGGAAGAGACCAGCCUUGUCCAACAGAUCUACCAUUCAAGCCACAAACGCCAGGCUCGGCUAAGACCCACAGAAGAAAAAGGACUUGCUCGAAAUUGACUUGAUGAGACAGUGGCACUGAGAAAAAUAUUCCUACCAAGACAAAAAGACAUGGACCAAUGGCUCCAGAGGCCCCAAGAGACUAAUGAACUGACUAAUUCCAAGGACAACACAGACCCAAACCAGAGUGAAACUCCUGUGGAAAGACUCCGGCUGGCACUCAGGGAACACCCCGGGGCCCUCCAGCAGGGGCAGAUCAC